UGUGAUGUUUGUCACAUAUUAUUUUAAGAUAAACAAAUCUCAUGUGUUUCGCACGUUUUGAGCAGCCCUCGCAUGCAGACGAUUGCUGCGCAGGAUGGGUCUCAGGGCAGGCCUCCUCUUUGUCACACGCUCUCUGACCAUCUGAUUACAAUGAUUGCGUCUACCAAGCAGAAACGUUGAUGGCCUGAAGGGCUGAAGGGCUGAAACGCUGGCGGACAGAGAGUGAAUCAGUCGAUAGGCCGAAGAGUCGGAAGCUGGUAUAGACCAACUUUGGCGUAAGGCAGUAGAAUCACCCUCGUUCUAUGCCAAACGGAACGCUUACUCAAUUACCAGCAGGACGUGCUCUUCCUGCCUUGGUACAAUAUUCGCCCGCAGACAGACAAAGCGCACCAAAGCGAAACUUUAAUCAACUGUCAAUAAUUGAUGAUAAUCACAGCGCAGUGUAAUAUUGCUUAUCAGCAGAUACAGCAAAGCCAGCAACAUCAACAGCAACAGCAACAACAACAGCAACAGCGAGUGAUUAACUUAAUAAACGGCGCAACGACGAAGAGGCAACCAAAACAAAGCGAGCGACGAGGCAAACGACAAACCAAAUAGAUGGCAAGUGGAAUGCAAACACAAAACGAAAUAGCUGAAGUACUUUUUUUUAAAGAUAUACACGACUCUCAUAUACCUCAUGUGUGCUUAAGAGUCCCUGGUUGGUUAAGUAUAAAAAUUUUAGUAGUAUAAACAUCUUUUUAAUCAUCAUAAAAAAUAUAAUAAUCAUCAUAA